rnacentral:rRNA from 1 species
UACGUAGGGGGCAAGCGUUGUCCGGAUUUAUUGGGCGUAAAGAGCGUGUAGGCGGCUUUACAGGUCCGUUGUGAAAACUCGAGGCUCAACCUCGAGACGCCGGUGGAAACCGUAAGGCUAGAGUCCGGAAGAGGAGAGUGGAAUUCCUGGUGUAGCGGUGAAAUGCGCAGAUAUCAGGAAGAACACCCGUGGCGAAGGCGGCUCUCUGGGCCGAUACUGACGCUGAGGAGCGAAAGCGUGGGGAGCGAACAGG